rnacentral:lncRNA from 1 species
GCCGGGUGUACAAUUCUUUUCUUUUAUUAUCCCUAACUUUUGCCCGAACCUUUCUCUUUUUUCUUGGUUCGCCGGGAUGCCCAUUUUUGCCUGGACUCUUUUAUUCUUUUUGUCCAGCGGGUUUCUUUCACGAAGUAUUUUCUAACUGCGUCCGCAUUCACAGGGGAUGAAAAAUCGUCGUCAUCCGUGGUUAUCAACAACAUGGCCUGGUCUGAGAAAACCUUCUUGACCACGGAUGAGACACUCCUAAUUGUUUAUCCAUUUGCCCCACGAUCGUCU